rnacentral:lncRNA from 1 species
GUAGGAUAAACUGGGAUAGCAUCUGGCCCAGUGUCACCUUGUGACAGAGUGGGGACUUGAACCUGGUGUCCCAAGUCUCUUUGCUGUAAUCGCUACACUACCCUGUCAUUACACCUCUUGUAACUGUCAUGUUACAAGAAGGGUUGAAAAGUACUUGCACAAGCAAUUCCCCUUUUCACACUUUUGUCUUCAAAAUAUAUACGUAAAUGGUGUAUCUUUUAUUACAGGGAAAUGCAGUUUCCUCCUUAGUCACUAAAGGUCCAUGUUGUGUUAUGGAAUGCCUUUUACUGUACCUUGGGUUUAAGUUAGGGAUGAGCAAAGAUGUCAAUUUCCAUUUCUCCCAGUUUUUCCAACCUUAAGUUCAGUUCUCCACGUUUCCAAAUCAGUUUGUGAUUUUUCAAAAGUCCUUAUGAAAAUUCAUCAGCAUUUUGUUGAGAAUUAAUUCCUGACAUUUUUGUAUGCAGUUUUGCCUAAUAUAUGCAAUUUUACAAAACAAUUUCCACUAAUACAAUGCAUUUCCGUAUAUUCUUUCCACCAAUAUAUUUGUGUUUAUGCAUGCUCUACCCUUCUAUACACAGUUUUGUACACAUUACUUGACUGGAGAAGUGCAUUUCAAACUUUGGAGGAGGGAUGUCCAUUUCAGUUUGCUUAUUAUGUUGGAAAGUUCAACUUUUUGAAUUUCUCCUCCACCCCUAGUAACUUUGGAUCCUUUUCUUUUCUUUUCUUUUCCUUUUCUUUUCUUUUCUUUUCCUUCCCUUGUUUACUGUAUAAUUUUCACAAUCAGCCUCCAGGGACUGGAGUCCUUCCACAAAUAUAAAAUUGUGUUUUUAUUUCCAUUGGUUAAAAUAAAUGUGUAGAUAAUGUUGUUCACUUGGUUUGACAGUGAAUACUUGGAGGUACAAAAACUGCUGAAUGUGACUAGUGGCUAAAUGAAAACAUGUUGUGGUAGGCCAAGAGCAAUUCCUUUCUUAAUCAUCCCCCAAGGAGGUUUUGUAUAAUUUCAUGUGUUUGUUUUAAAGGAACUCUGUUUUAAAAGCAGUGGCACGCGUCUCUGUUUCCUUUUGCGCUUUUCUUUUCAGCAGAGAGGAUUUUCUGUCCAGGAGCUUGUCAAGAAAAUGUCAUGAGUGGGCCUUCUUGGGUUGGUGGUCAAGGUAAAAUACAUUACACUGUCGACAUCCAUUAAGGCCAGGAGAAAAUAAACCUCUGGAGGCAGAUCUUAGCUGUGUUCUUGAAGUUUAGAAGUCUGUUGAAGCACAAAAAAUUGAAUAUAUGCAGUUUUAGAGCGGGAGGAGAAGUGGAUGUCCUUUAUACACCUUCAUGUGUGCACAAUUGUUGAAACAGUUCCACAUGCUGGUCCUAAAGGAAUCAAAGAUUAGGACCUUUUGAUGUGAAGAGUAUUGUUUUGGUUGGCCCAAAACAUUUGGCUGCCUGAAGUAGAUGAACACACCCAUUCCAAGUUUAGAAGCUGACUGGACUAGGAGUUGAGUUUGCUUUCCAUGCUGGUAGGAGCACACCUGAGGAUAGUAGGUUUGCUUAGGAGUUGGGUAUGCUGCUUUAGACCAAAUCAGACCACUGGUCCAUCUAACUCAGUACCGUCCACACUGACUGGCAACAACUCCCCAGCGUCUCAGACAGGGGACAUUCUCAGCCCAGAUGUAGGGGACUGAACCUGGGAUUUUCUGUGUACAAGGCAGGUGCUCUGGCUGUCACCCUUCCCCAUCCAGCUUUGGAGAGAUGUAGGGCAGUCUGUGUGACACGCAAAGAAUCAACGCCUUGCUGCUGCCCCUCGUCUCUCUGCCAAAUGGUGGCCCAGUCCUCUUUUAGCCUCAGAAGCUGCUGAUGCUUUGUCUGCUCAGGAACACACACACACACACACACACACACACACACACAUUUUUGCAGCCCCAGAUUGACAGCAAAACAGAAAGCAAAGGUUUAUUGAGCUCUUGUGGGUCACAAGUUGCAGAGGCCUGCCUUUAGUACAGCAGUCUCUGCUUUCCCUUUAAAUGAUGGUUCUUAAUAUUAAAUGUGACUCUCUGAGGGCAUGUAAGCAGCGUGAAGCCACUUUUCUUUUGUGAACCAACCCCUCUUGCCAAUUGGCAGAGGGACCUUGCAUUCAUAACAAUAACAACUUACUGUUACAAAGUAUAUCCACUGGCAGUGUGUGUGAACUUGUGACGCAAAUAAGUUUUUCCUCUAUACGGAACCUUCCAUGCUCAUCCUCAACAUGCUGCUUUGAGUCUAGAUCCUUUCUACAACUGUGGUGGCUGCGGCUACAUGACACUUACGUGAAAACCCACCACAUACCGUAUUUUUCCAUGUAUAAGAUUUUUUUUACCAAAAAAUUAGGUUUAAAAUUGGGGCUCAUCUUAUACAUGGGUAGUGCUAAGGGGUGUUUUCUUAAUUUGGAGUCCCCCAAAAUAGGGGGCAUCUUAUACAUGGGGGCGUUUUAUACAUAGGAAAAUAUGGUAAUUAGGUUAUCCAUCCCUUUUUUGUCCCUGCACAUCCCCCAGGUGAAUGAAGAAGGAGAAAAGUAAUUGUGAUCUUGAGGCAGGAUUCAGCUCAUGAGUCCCAUCAGUGGAAGCCCUCCAUGGUGCAAUUUCACCUUUCCUCCUCCAUGCCCAUCUGAAAUUGACUAUGUGUGGGUCAGGAAAACUGCCAGAGUUGGGGAUCUGGUGAGCUAACAUGCAUGCCCAGACAGAACAAUCAACAGCAUGAUGUUGAAUUUCUCCCUUGGUAUUUGCACCCACCCACAACAUGGGUGUGGGGGUGCACCCCCUGUUGCUGGAAGCACAUCCACUCCUUCAGACACAAUGGUUGUAAUGUAGAAUCAACCUGCUCUGAUAUUUUAUUUCUGGAUUUAAACUAAUUUGUGAAAAAGCUCUUUUGGGGGGACAUGCAGUGGGUCUAGAUUGUAUGUGUGCGCGAAGCAACAAAAUCAAGAUGGCAGUGUACACUGAAUGUUGAAUAUAAUGUUGUGUGUGUGCAGCCCUGUGCUCUAACACCUACUGAUAGAACAACAAGCAAUCUGUAGUUCUGUUAUCUGUGUUUACAGGUGGCUUUUGUUUUACGAAAUGCAGCUGCUUAGAUUGCAAUUUCACAGGAAGGUGGCAAUGGUGGCGGUGAAACACAUUCAACCCCAGCCAUUUUCCUGCCCUCAAAUUGUCAGCUCCAGCUGCUUUUCCUCCAUCUGUAUCUUGGAGAUGGAGAACUUUUGCCUUGCACCCGUGUGGCACUAGAGCAUGUACCAACAAGCUUCCGACAGGAUUUGUGAUCCUAGACUGGCCUUUUCUGCGUAGUUCCAAAACUAGUUGUGUGCAGUCAAGUCCAUAUAGGCCUUUCUGACAACUUGGUGAUUUGCUGUUUUUGUUUGCUUGUAGUCGACUAAAGCUAAAAUGGAUUGAAACUUCCUUUGCAACAAGUGUGAGAUGCCCUUGAGAGUCUGAGAACAGAUGGAAACAGGGAGUCUUGAGCUUAAAUAAGAAUUACUGCUCUCAGAGCUGAAGGCACCUUUCUCAGCUACAGUUUAUGUAAGUGAUCAAGCCUGGAGCUGUUGCUAGGCUUUGAAACCUUCCAAGCAGAGUACAGAAUUUCAGAGCUUUAGGUGUAUGCGCAUAAGGAGCUUUGUGCCGUUAAAAAUGAUUGCGCCUUGUCCCAAAGUAGUGUCUAAAUGUGCUCACCUACUAUGUUAAAAUCCAUAAUGCAGAUCCCCUGCCAAACCACAAAGGGCUAAUGAAAGUGUUAAUAGAUGCACAUUUGAGAGCCUGAGUUCAGCUACCAGUCUAGCCGUGGGAUCCUGGAACCAUUCCUGUAGAAUGAAAGGGUAGCUUGGAGGAGGUGGGGAGGGAGUUUACAUUUCUGAAUCACCUUCCCUGCUUCACAUCAAAAACUUCCUGCAUGCAGUAAAGCUAGCACACCAGGGAAAGGCCUAUACUCAGCAAUAAUAAAUAAAAUAAAUUCUAAAAUACAUUUUCCCUUCGCAGGUACAGCCUGGGGUGGGGGGAUGAGUUCAGCAAAGUGGAAUAAGAACUUGUCUGUGCAUGGCACUGAUUGGCUGGUGUCUGUGACGUCAUUAAGAAAUUUUCCCAUCCUGGAAGAAGUUUGCAUGGGGAAGGGAAGUUGUGUUAUUCAGUGAAUUCAUGAUAAGUUAAUUGAUAAGCCUUUGUGUGGCAUUAAAAAAUAUAUGAAAUAAUAGAUGCCUGAAUUGUAUGGGAGAAGCGCUUAGCCGCUGCUCAGUUUGCUGCUUUGCAUGCCUGUCAUUUUGGUUGUGACACCAGGUCUUGCUGCAUGAGCUCUUUUUAAAAUAUUGCAUCUUUACACCCUCCUCCCAUAAAGUCCAAUAGACAUACUACACAUAUAAAGUCUUCUUUUAUGUGCAACAUCCAAAAGAAAUAUCCAAAAUAGUGACAGUUGUAACAGCGAUCAAAGGCAAUUAAGACGUUUCCCCUUGAUUUCCUGGUGUUUUGAGGAAGUUUGAUCUGGAACAGCCAAGGGUGGUGAACAGGAGGGAUUACUAAUUCAUUUACUAGAAAGCUGUGAUUUCCAAGAGGGAACUUGCCCAUUUCCAGGGAUUGUGCUAAAAGGAAGGGCAGGGGUAUUUUGGAAUUCCAAGCAAUUUCCUCCUUGUGUGGAUUAGCUUUCUUUCUGUUACGUCUACAUAGGCAGGCAUAUGGACUUCUCGAGUAUCGGAUUUCUUUCUCCUGCCUAGUUAAUUCAAAUCCGCCGUGUCGGUGAUUACUACUGAAAUGAGAAUCGCUUCCUUUGCAUUAAGUACUUUCAUUGAAGGCGGUAUUUUUUAUUGUUUAAAAAAGGAACAAUAAUAAUUUUCUCCAGGAGCAAAAUGGAGAAUAAUAUUUUUU